rfam:Trichobilharzia regenti genome assembly, scaffold: TRE_scaffold0023737
GUACUGAUGAAGAGUCCCAAACUAGGACGAAAUAACUAUCCAGUAC